AGUCUGCACCGACUGUUUUGAUUUUUCGGAUUAUGGCGGCCUAGUCCGUGGCGGACAGCGGUACUCAAAAUUAAAAUCCUAAUCCAAACCAUUUAAAGUUUGUAGGUAUGCGGAUCAAUCCUCAGAUUAUAUUUUAAUUACAACAAACAAUUUUCAUGUUCGGUUGAUCUUAUGAAGUCCAUAAGCCAUAGCUAAAAUUUAAUGUCCGAUGACCAAAAAUGAAAAACAUAUAACAAUUCGAAAACAUAAACAUCCCAAUAUAUAAAAGGAUUUGAGGGAGCCUUUUUAGACUAUCCACAUAUGAAUGGAAAAUCAUCCAAUGAGAGGGUCAAUGAGAGGGUAUGAUAUUGCCACAUCACCAUGACUGAAAUAGAGUGGAUUUUCGUAUGUGUUCUUUGAAAAUUAUCAAAUAGGCACAUUCCAGCUCAUGUAGAGAAAGGACAAAAAAAUCUGUAUCGUUUCACGCCUCAGUUUCUUCCCCCAACUCUUCCACUUCAUCUUCUUUGAUGUCUGAAUUUUAUUUUGUGUAACUUUCUUAAUCAAUGAUGAUCUUAAAACUUUUUUUUUGAAUGUUUCUUUCCACCUCCCAUUGAUCCCUCUCCUAUAUAAAGAUCUACGUCUAAACCUAAAUCACCCUAAAUCAAAACCUACUCGAAGCUACAUCAAUGGCCAUGAAUGAGGGAGUAAGAGCUGAUUGAACUACAAUCGCAUAGUUUGUUUGCCGAGAACAAAAAGGUAAAUGGAACUUAGAUCACUCAUCUCAUAUUGGAAUCUAAUAAUAUGAAAUUGUCCCUUUUAUUUAGUUUUUCCCUUUUCAGUUUCAUUGUGGAAAGAGGUAGAGAUUGAAACAAUUUGAGAGGUAUGUCGUUCUCCUCUCAUUUAUUCUAUGUUUUUGUUUACCACUCACACACCUUUCUAAAUCUAAGAGCCAUAUGACAGAAACCAUUCAAACCAAUGAGCAGAGCCGCAUGAGAACACCACUGCUGAAAUUGCAAUAGCUAAUGGCAAGCCUGGAGAAUUAACAUAGAUUUUUUAUGUUGAAUAAUUUGACCCAAAGGAACCUCAUAUACUAGUAAUUUUUGAACAUCACAAAAUCCUUGUUGCUUCCUUUUUUUAUUUGCUUGACUGAUCUUCCUUCCUGGGAAAAAUAAAGUUACCGUUUUUCCAUAUUGUUUUUCAUGCUUUGCAAAUAGUCAAUAGGGAGAGAGAUUUUAUACAACAGUUACAAAUAUAUUGCUUAGACUGAGUUUCAUAUGUGAAGCCAUGGCUCAUGGGCAGUGGAUGUUUCAUAACUAACAGACAAGGGUUCUUUUCCUUGCUGGAACAAUUCGUGUAUAGUGAGGAAGCAUACCAAUAAUGAGCAAGGGAUAAGGCUGCGGAAAUUGCUUGCCGAGUCAUUCUUUCUGCUAAAAAUGGAGCAAGAAGGAGAGUGACUGUCUUAAGGUUUUGGAUUCAGAUUCAUGGUGGCUUAAGAGUCAUUUCGUAGAAUAUGGAGUUGUUGUUGAUUCAAAAGGCAAUGCUGUUCACGAGGUAAAUAUUGGAAAGUUGUCAAAUUUUAUUUGACGCUUACACUCUCCUGCUUUGCAUGAUUAUCUCAGUGUUUGGUACUUGAAGUGUGACUGCUUAUUAGAUUUUAGUCGUGUCCAUGUUGGCGCCUUGGUCAUACAGAAGAGCAUAUGUAAUUGAGCUACAGUGUCACAAUAGCAAAGUUUGUUUGUAUUGUGUUUUGAGGACAUGUGUUGACGUUGGAGCAAUAUUAGUGGAACCAGGUCAUAAACUGAAGAUUCGUACAGUAAGUUUUACCUCCAUCUUUGUAUUACAGAUGUCUUGGUUAUUUGAUGUGCUUAAGAGUUUAUCGGUGAGCUUUGGCUAUAGCCUAUAGAUUCUGAAUCUUCUUUUACAUUCUGGCUGGAUAUGCGGUGCAUGUUCCAGGAGAGUUUAGACUUCAUGUGUGUUUUGAAUGGGUGUUUAGAACUUAUGCAAGCUGAGAAUGUUGAAAAACUUAUUUCGGCCAAGUCUUCUUCUCCUGCAGAUGCUGCUUUGGAAGGGAUUCACGCAUCCUUUUGCCCACCUUUUAAAGGAUAACUUAAACUUACUCAAGAUCCAUCUGUAUCUCCAUCUCGGUAUCAAUAAAUUCUUGCAUGCCAGCCUGAGCCAGUGAUGCCCACUUUGAAACUUCCUCAAGAAGAAUCAGCCGAGAAUUUUAUACUCUAUGGCUACGUAAAAGUUCAAUUGGAAGGUCUCCAUUCUAUUUGAAGAUUGUAUCUACAUUUUAUUCUAUUUUACAAACAAUAAUUGUCGAUCUUUUUCUUUUGUAAAUAUUCCGAUGUAUGACAUUCAGAACAAUCCUCCUUGAUUAUAUUUUCUGAUGUUAUGUUCGAAAUGACCACUGUCCAAUAUUUAAAAAGGUGACUAUACAAAACGGUUACUUCUGUGUUACCAUAUUUCUUCUAUGUCAAUCUAGGAAGAACUUGAGAAAACUGAAAUGCACUAAAGAGAAGUAGCAGCAGAUUCGCGUUGCAACACUGACUGGCAUUAAUAUGUGGACACUGACUUAUCGAAAGAGCCCGAAGGGUAAUCAAUCCAUCUGUAAUCCCUUUUUAGUUUAUGUGCACCUAAUGUUUUUUAAAAAAAUCGUAUAAUGAGCUCCAAAUAGGGGGUUCUGGCUGACAAUGAUUUAAACCAUUUAAUUUCUACUUUAUGUGUUUUUUAUGACAAAUAAUUUUAUUUUAAUAUAGAUGAAUUAAAUACAAAUUUACAACAUAUUUAAUAGCCAUAAAUAGUUUAAAUUAUUCGUAUUUAAUUUAAAUGAAUCUUAGAGUUUUUCUGAAACCCUAAAUAAAGAAAAUAAAGAAUAUUUGAAUUGUAAAUAAGGCUCACUUAUUAUUUAUAGUUUUCUCAUUACAAAAAUUUAAAUUUGAUUAAUGAUUUAUAUUUUAUAAUCAGUCAAAGCAUAUAUAACAUAUAUAUUCAAAUACCAAAUAAUUUAAUUUAAAUUAUGACGUAAAGAAGAAAACUCGGGCGUAGCCCGAAACAAGCCCUAGUGCUUGUUAAUAACUCUAUUCAUAAGCAUAUGUAGUUACACAUACAAAUAUAUGAUUCCCUAUUUGUGUGAAUAAAGUUAACCUUAAAGAAGAUACAAAAGAUUAUAUAAAAGAACUACUUAUCAAUACCAAAUACGAACCAUUUGAAUGUAAACUCA